rnacentral:rRNA from 1 species
GGUAAAAGCCACAUCGUCAAUGCCUGAUCUCGUCAAGUCUCUGAAGCUAAACAGGACUGAGCCUGGUUAAUACUUGGAUGGGAGACCACUGGGAAUUACAGGUGCCA